CUCUGACCAAGCUCCUGGAAAACCUGUUCGUAAUUUUGACUCUCCUGUUUUUGUCAUAGUUUUUGUGCUGGAUGCACUUACCUGCCUUGACGUUCCGUCCCAGAAGGUUCACCAGUAUCACAAGGCUCAGAUUCUGCUCUGGCGCUCCCCCUCUUACUCACUAGAGGUUACCCAGCUGGGCUCGAGGUCCCCUACCUGGAUACUGGUGUUCCCACUUCAACUCUGGUCAAUCCAUCUGUCACUCGACCCAGCGGAGGCUAGCUCUGGAUCCCUCGUCAGCCGCUGCUGCUGCCCUCCAGCCACCAGCCACCUACUCCAUCUAGAGCAGGCUCACAGGGUUUCCCCGACACUCACUCCUUCCCGGUUAGGUCCGCCCGGCUAAUGGUCUCCUCCGCCUCGACGUUCAGACCUCGCAGCUGCAGUCAUUAUUUCGUCUUUUGUAUUUGCACAUUUCCUAAUAAACUGUUUAAAUCUA